AUUGAACGCUGGCGGCAGGCUUAACACAUGCAAGUCGAGCGAGCGGCGGACGGGUGAGUAAUGUCUGGGAAACUGCCUGACGGAGGGGGAUAACUACUGGAAACGGUAGCUACUACCGCAUACCAUCAGAUGUGCCCAGAUGGGAUUAGCUAGCAGGGGGGGUAAUGGCUCACCUAGGCGACGAUCCAUAGCUGGUCUGAGAGGAUGACCGGCCACACUGGAACUGAGACACGGCCCAGACUCCUACGGGAGGCAGCAGUGGGGAAUAUUGGACAAUGGGCGCAAGCCUGAUGCAGCCAUGCCGCGUGUGUGAAGAAGGCCUUCGGGUUGUAAAGCACUUUCAGCGGGGAGGCGUUACUCGCAGAAGAAGCACCGGCUAACUACGUGCCAGCAGCCGCGGUAAUUC
rnacentral:rRNA from 1 species